CCCUCUGACACAAUUUGCACACCCUGGGACAUACACCUUUCUCAUAUAAUAUUGGAUUCCCCAUGGUCACUGGGACCUGCCAAUCAUCCACAUCUAGUCCUUUGGGGUGUAUCAUAACAGGUAAAUGCAAUAUCCCAUGCUUUCUCUACUCCCUAUCAAUUAUAUUAGAAACCUUUCCUACCCAGAAUGCUGCAGGAUCCCAAAUCCCAGGUCAGCUCUUAAUGUGCAGGCUGCACCUUCCUCUGAACAAAGAAUUCAGAAACCAAGUCAGACAGUCACUGUACUCUAGAUCAGAGGCUUGACUUGGAGAGCAGAUUCCAAGGUUCGUGCAGAAGGAGGGCAUGUAUGCUUUGCCGUGAAGGAAGGGGAGUUGAACACUGAGUGGGCAGUCCAAUCUGACACUUGCUUUCCUUUUUUUCCCUUUGUCUCUGUCCCAGACAGGAGAAAUAAGCCUGUGAUUUGAAGAACAUGAUGGGCAUUAGGAUUAUGAGAAAAACUGUGAAAUCCUAAGCAUCAAAAAGUAAAAUUCUCAGCAGUGAAAUUUAAGCAACAUUUUACUUUUUACAUGUCAAGGACGGUUUUGAAAAUUGGUCCUACCAUGUGUCAAUGUUAGCAUUGCUCUUUUUGUGUGUCCCUCUCAUAGCACUGGUUGUAUGCUAUUUACUCUAUAAGCACUUUUCUUAGUAUGUCUAGGACCUCUCUUAACCUCUUUUUAUUUCAUUAAGCACUGCCACUAUUGUUAUUGUUUUCACCAGUUCAUUAGCAUUUUUCUUCAUAUGUUCCAAGAACUCUAUAUGCAUCACUCUUACCACAUUCCUUCUAUAAGUAUUUUCCUCACUAAAUUGUGAACUGUAAGCAUUGUUCUUAUUUCUGUGAACCACCCUCACAGCACUGCUGUUACAAAGAUACCAAUAACUCUGUGAUCAUUGUUUUUACUGUGAUAAGCACCCUGUAAGAUGUUAAUGUCCUGUUGAGAAAUAAAAAUUAACAAUCAGCAUUUCUGUGUGUCCCCACACUUAUGAAGCAACUAUUGGCUGUCCCUUGCACAAAGCAUCCCUCCUCUUGUCCAUCCUAUGAUGGAACUAUUAAAGGAAGUCAAACUUCUCUCUGAAGUUGCUCACAAAGGUUACCACUGUGAACAUCUGUCACUAGCUUUCCCUACUACAAGUGAGUCUGAGAUCUUCUCAAGUUUUCUGUCUGGUGCAAUUGACACAUUUCAAAGUCCUAUAUUCAUGUACCGCGUCACAGUCACUAACAGUAGACAUUUGCACUAUUGACUCUGCUUACUCUUGUAGGGACAGCCUUUAGAGACAUGGUUGCUGUACUAAAGUUGUUAUUCUUUAAACAAACACCCACUAUGUGGAGUCAUGUCCUCGGGCUGGAUGAGACAUGGAGGUAUGUUGGGCAGACAAAUAAUCCUGCCCAAGUGGAGGUGGUACCUAGCAUAACUUUCAUCCUACCCUAGAUGAGAGCUGGGGACCCAGACAGAUCUGAGACAUCUUGCCACAGCUCCCAGAGGUGCCAGAUGCAAAUUCUGUGAAGCAGGGGACUCUGGCUGCAUGUUUCCCAAUACCCAGCUCUCCUGCCAUGAAGGUGUGACCCAAUAUAGAACAGAUGUGAUGUCAUGAUAGGACACUGGCAUUUUCCAGGCUCAUCCUUCUUUGGUCUUUGUUCUAGUGCACCUUGCUGUCUGGGAAGUAUCACAGCAUGCUCCAUGCCCCUUUCUUUAUCUCAAGAAGCUGUCUUCAUGAACAAGCAUUCUGCUUCCUUCUAGAAGACAAGUUAAAUCUGCUUCCCUUCCCUGCCAAAAAGUAGUCAUGGAAUCCCCUAUUAAGGAAUCAGAUGGUCAAUGACAUGAGGGUGAAGAUGAACACUCUGAAGGGAAUUGUGUCAUGACAGACGGAAAAGGCCUGGGGGUCACAGAAGAAGCCAGCAGGAUAAGAUAAGCCCAAAAGUCUGCCAGGAACCUGUGGCUCAGGUCAAUCUCAGAAGAACCUGUUCCUCCAUGGCAUGCCACCUGUCUGUGAAAGGCACAGUAAGAAGGCAUCAGCCCACCAGACAACCUAGAAAUAUUUCUGACUCUACCCAGUACUUGACAUCACAUACCCACUGAACAAAGUAAGGCAGAUGGGGAAUUUCUCUUGUGAAGGAAGAUCAGAGGCCACAAGAUGAAACAAGAACUGGCUCUUAUUCAGAUCUGGACCCAAUAGGAGGCAUGAGGUUAUCAAGAUUCAUGGGGUGCCAGAAAGUAAGCAUUUCCCAACCUGUGAGGAGAUGGACGAACCUGAAGAGGAAAAUGAGUAAACAUAUUGGUGAAUGAACCCCACGAAGAUAAGGAGAUGGUGGACAUUGGGCACCAUGGGCAUAUCUUGGAACCCUGAACAACAACCACCACAGAAAUAAAGAUUCACAUCACACUCGGAACCAUCCUGCUGUUGGGGUCUCACUCAUAGGCAAGGUUUGAUCAAGGACCAAUCAAUCCAGACAAGUUGCUAGCAUCCCUGUAUGGACACCCAUAGGAAAGUACACUAACCCUACAUGCCCUGACUUCAAGUCACAUCUCUCUAAGGACUGUGGAAUGUGGAAAUAAGUCAGCCUAUCUGUGGGUUUAUAAUACUGGCACAGGCUUUAAUGAAAAUGUGAGUUGCAUUACCAAACCUAAAAUCGUCCCUAGGGUCAAUGGACAACCAGGGCCCUUCCCUUCGGAAUGCAAUUUUGUAAGCCUGAUGAAUGCCAUGUGAUACAGCACAUUCUAGGAAUGCACACAUAAUAGUCAUACUUACUUUACUGCCGUACCCGAAAUCACUUACAUUGACACCCUUGGAGAUGAUUGGUCUAUUACACCCCAGGUUUUUGGCAAUUACAAAUAUGCCACAACCUCCUGCCAUGCCACCCCAGGAAAACCGGCAUGUUGGAAUAAAAUAGCUCCCAUCCUUGUCUCUGAUUGUGAGCCCACAGACCAGGUUAGAGAAACCAUGAUCCAGGAGAAAAUCCAAUUUAUGACUGACCCCCUAAUUCCUCACAUAGCUUAUCAUCCCUUAUUUCUUCCCAAAUCUAGCGGAGUGGACUGAUCCCUAUACAUCAGAAAUAAUAGCUGCCACUCACUAUGCUUUAAACGUCACCAACCCCAGUUUGGCAGAAGAUUGCUGGCUGUGCUUAGCUUUAGGUAGUCAGUGGCCUUGAGCAGUCCCCAUGUUCAAUGACUCUUUGAUACCCAUCAAUGGUUCCCUGCUGACAAGUAAUGGUCAGCUCAGCAUUCCUUUUAGAAUUCAACCUACAGGAUUUAGUUAUUCUUUGUGCUUCUAUAAAUAUUUUAAGAACCAUUGUUUUGGUAUAGUUGUAGGCCAAGUUUCCUUUACCUCAUCUUUCUCAGUGAUUAAUGUGUCCACAGCUCUCUGUGCCAGACCAGGACAGAUUCUUUUUUUUCUGUUUCUUUUAUUUUUUAUAUAUUUGAAUUACAAACACGAUUGAAUUACAUGUCGAUCCCAGUUCCCUUCUCCCUCCCUUCCUCCUCUACCACCCCCCAACUAAAAUCCUAUCUGUCAUAUGUCUUUUCUUCUAAUCUACACCUGACUCAAAAUUUCUGCUUCCAGGACAGAUUAUUAUUUGUAGAAAUAAGUUAGCAUACUCCAUGCUGCCAGCCAAUUGGACAGGGCUAUGUGCCCUGGCCACCAUCCUCCCAGAUAUAGAGAUUUUACCUGGGGACAAGCCUGUCCCUAUAUCUAGCAUGGAGUGUCUCAUCCCCAGAUGUAAGAGGGCUGUUCCAUUCAUUCCCCUAUUGGUAGGUCUUGGUGUGGCAGGGAGCUCUAGCCACUGGCUCCACUAGCAUGGGAGUAGCCUUAAAGACCUAUUCUCAACUGUUACAGCAAAAUGCUGCUGAUGAAAAGACUAUUUAUAGAUCCAUCCAGUAUCUACAAGAUCAGUUUGACUCUAGCAGAGGUAGUCCUACAAAAUGGGAGAGAUCUAGGCUUAGUUACUUCAGUCAAGGGAGGCAUGUGCUUGACUUUACAGGAGAAAUACUGCUUUUAGGGUAACAAAUAAGGCAUUGUUCGAGAUCGAAUAAUAAAACAUUAAGAAGACCUUGAAAACCGCCAUAGAGAACUGUUGGACCAACCUAUUUGGAGUGCCUGGAGUGGAUUGCUGCCCUAUCUUCUUUCCCUGUUAGACCUCUUGGUUGGCCUAUUAAUUCUUCUAUUGCUCAGACCUUUUCUUUUUAAUAAAUUGAUGCCCUUCAUUGAGAA